rnacentral:rRNA from 1 species
ACACAUGCAAGUCGAACGGGAAUUAUUUUAUUGAAACUUCGGUCGAUUUAAUUUAAUUCUAGUGGCGGACGGGUGAGUAACGCGUGGGUAACCUACCUUAUACAGGGGGAUAACAGUCAGAAAUGACUGCUAAUACCGCAUAAGCGCACAGGACCGCAUGGUCCGGUGUGAAAAACUCCGGUGGUAUAAGAUGGACCCGCGUUGGAUUAGCUAGUUGGUGAGGUAACGGCCCACCAAGGCGACGAUCCAUAGCCGGCCUGAGAGGGUGAACGGCCACAUUGGGACUGAGACACGGCCCAGACUCCUACGGGAGGCAGCAGUGGGGAAUAUUGCACAAUGGGGGAAACCCUGAUGCAGCGACGCCGCGUGAAGGAAGAAGUAUCUCGGUAUGUAAACUUCUAUCAGCAGGGAAGAAAAUGACGGUACCUGACUAAGAAGCCCCGGCUAACUACGUGCCAGCAGCCGCGGUAAUACGUAGGGGGCAAGCGUUAUCCGGAUUUACUGGGUGUAAAGGGAGCGUAGACGGUGUGGCAAGUCUGAUGUGAAAGGCAUGGGCUCAACCUGUGGACUGCAUUGGAAACUGUCAUACUUGAGUGCCGGAGGGGUAAGCGGAAUUCCUAGUGUAGCGGUGAAAUGCGUAGAUAUUAGGAGGAACACCAGUGGCGAAGGCGGCUUACUGGACGGUAACUGACGUUG